rnacentral:rRNA from 1 species
UACGUAGGGUGCAAGCGUUAUCCGGAAUUAUUGGGCGUAAAGAGCUCGUAGGCGGUUUGUCACGUCUGCUGUGAAAACUGGAGGCUCAACCUCCAGCCUGCAGUGGGUACGGGCAGACUAGAGUGCGGUAGGGGAGAUUGGAAUUCCUGGUGUAGCGGUGGAAUGCGCAGAUAUCAGGAGGAACACCGAUGGCGAAGGCAGAUCUCUGGGCCGUAACUGACGCUGAGGAGCGAAAGCAUGGGGAGCAAACGGG